CACAAAUGCUAUCUAAUAAUCGUUCACAUUCCUAUUACAGUUAUUUCCUUGAUAAUGAAUAUAUAAACGAUGAAAUUGAUAACUAAGGCACUUAACGCUACGUUCUAUAUAGAUACGAAUCCUAAAUCAUUAGAAGAUAUCUUAGCUGAAGAAGAUGUAGAUUCGAAUUUAACAUACGGGAUGAAAUUUGUAUCCAAUGAAACUCACAUUUAUUUAAUGAUUAUAAGUACAUUACUAACAAAACAGCUACAAGGUAUUUAUACAACCAUACCGGAGAUUACUUGAAGUUCAUGAAUUCCACGAAUCAUAUAUAAUUCUUAAAGGUUCAUUGAGGUACCCAUUCUCAAAAUUAAUAUCCAUAUUAUUCAAGUAUAAUAAUGGUUCAAUUCUCUAUUCAAGUCCCAAAGUUAAUGUCAUCCUGCAAAAUUGUCAAGAUAACAACAGCCUUGGCCUUCCCAACUUUGAAUCUAGCUAUGAAAAAACAAUUUAUAUAGAUGAACAAAGUCUUUCUCAUUACGUGACAUUUGAGGGAAUUUACAAUUUGGUUAUCUCCGAAGGAAAUAAGACAAUCUUUAUAAAAAAUCUGCCUUUGUAUCCCUUUAGUAAUUUAGCACAUCCCCACUUGCACUUCAUUGAUUUAAUAUACACAUCCGUGAUCCAAUAUUACUAUGGUAGACAUGCUUACAAUUUAAACAUAUUCCACACUUCUUGAGGAUAUGAAAAAAUCAUUAAAAUAUUGGGAAGACUUUCAUAUUUCAGAAAAUAUGACGGUAAUAUUUAACCAUUUUCAAUUGAUAAAAAUUAUAUUUUUGGUCUACAAAGCUAGCUUAGAUCUGUUUAUUUGCUAAUAGCAAUUCAGGAUCCCUUUGGAGUCAUAAAUUGAUUAAUCGGUCUUAGUUAUAGGAUGGGUAACAACCUAAUAAUCAAUCAAAUUCACAACUUUAAGUUUUAGCAUUUUUACAAACGAAUAAUAUUUUUUGUAUAUCUUUUUUUUAGUAUCCUAUUGUAUUUUAAAAAAUAUAUUAUAUCAUUUUCUAAAAAUAAUUAAUAGGUUUAA